UACGUAGGUGGCGAGCGUUGUCCGGAUUUACUGGGCGUAAAGGGAGCGUAGGCGGACUUUUAAGUGAGAUGUGAAAUACCCGGGCUCAACUUGGGUGCUGCAUUUCAAACUGGAAGUCUAGAGUGCAGGAGAGGAGAAUGGAAUUCCUAGUGUAGCGGUGAAAUGCGUAGAGAUUAGGAAGAACACCAGUGGCGAAGGCGGUUCUCUGGACUGUAACUGACGCUGAGGCUCGAAAGCGUGGGGAGCAAACAGGAUUAGAUACCCUGGUA
rnacentral:rRNA from 1 species